GAUGAACGCUAGCUACAGGCUUAACACAUGCAAGUCGAGGGGACCGGCGGACGGGUGAGUAAUGCCUAGGAAUUUGCCUGGUAGUGGGGGAUAACGUCCGGAAACGGGCGCUAAUACCGCAUACUAUCAGAUGAGCCUAGGUCGGAUUAGCUAGUUGGUGGGGUAAAGGCCUACCAAGGCGACGAUCCGUAACUGGUCUGAGAGGAUGAUCAGUCACACUGGAACUGAGACACGGUCCAGACUCCUACGGGAGGCAGUAGUGGGGAAUAUUGGACAAUGGGCGAAAGCCUGAUCCAGCCAUGCCGCGUGUGUGAAGAAGGUCUUCGGAUUGUAAAGCACUUUAAGUUGGGAGGCGUUACCAGCAGAAUAAGCACCGGCUAACUUCGUGCCAGCAGCCGCGGUAAUUC
rnacentral:rRNA from 1 species